GGAUUGCAGCCGCGGUAAUACGUAGGGUGCGANNNUUGUCCGGAAUUACUGGGCGUAAAGAGUUCGUAGGCGGUUUGUCGCGUCGUUUGUGAAAACCCGGGGCUCAACUUCGGGCUUGCAGGCGAUACGGGCAGACUUGAGUGUUUCAGGGGAGACUGGAAUUCCUGGUGUAGCGGUGAAAUGCGCAGAUAUCAGGAGGAACACCGGUGGCGAAGGCGGGUCUCUGGGAAACAACUGACGCUGAGGAACGAAAGCGUGGGUAGCAAACAGGAUUAGAUACCCUGGUAGUCCACGCCGUAAACGGUGGGCGCUAGGUGUGGGUUCCUUCCACGGGAUCUGUGCCGUAGCUAACGCAUUAAGCGCCCCGCCUGGGGAGUACGGCCGCAAGGCUAAAACUCAAAGGAAUUGACGGGGGCCCGCACAAGCGGCGGAGCAUGUGGAUUAAUUCGAUGCAACGCGAAGAACCUUACCUGGGUUUGACAUACACCGGAAAACCGUAGAGAUACGGUCCCCCUUGUGGUCGGUGUACAGGUGGUGCAUGGCUGUCGUCAGCUCGNGUCGUGAGAUGUUGGGUUAAGUCCCGCAACGAGCGCAACCCUUGUCUUAUGUUGCCAGCACGUUAUGGUGGGGACUCGUAAGAGACUGCCGGGGUCAACUCGGAGGAAGGUGGGGACGACGUCAAGUCAUCAUGCCCCUUAUGUCCAGGGCUUCACACAUGCUNCAAUGGCCAGUACAGAGGGCUGCGAGACCGUGAGGUGGAGCGAAUCCCUUAAAGCUGGUCUCAGUUCGGAUCGGGGUCUGCAACUCGACCCCGUGNAGUCGGAGUCGCUAGUAAUCGCAGAUCAGCAACGCUGCGGUGAAUACGUUCCCGGGCCUUGUACA
rnacentral:rRNA from 1 species